AGUAGUGAUUAUUGUUAAGGAAUUUAUAGGUUGGCGAAUUUCGUAAAGUUGAUUGGAGUCUUGAAGAAUUGAUCGCGGAAGUUUUGAAGAAAAGUUUCAAAUUGAAGAACAAAGAUCCAUUCAUAAAGUUCGGCACCUAAGGUAUGGAGAGAAGAUCAUUUGUGGUGAAGAUACUUAACUGGAAUAAGUUCAGAAGGCUUAGAUUGCUUUAAAACGAUUUUACUGAACUUUUCUGUGUUCUGGGACCGGUCCCUGAGUUAGAGAGACCGGUUCCCCUAAGGUCCUCACUGCGUGAGUUUUGAUGCAACCGGUCCCCUGAGAUGAGAGACCGGUUCCCGAACCUUGGUAAUUCUGUCGCGCAGCGAGGGACCGGUCUCAAGCUUGAGAGACCAGUUCCAGAACAUUGUGUUUUUGAACACGCAGCGAAGGACCGGUUCCUCACUUGAGAGACCGGUCUCUCACAGACCGGUCUCCUCAGGAGGACCGGUCUCUGAGGACGACACAGGUUUUUAAAAAAGGACUUUUUGCAAUCCUAGUCUGCUUCUAAGUCUUCUAAACAUAUAAAUAAGCUAUGGGGGUCAUCUAAAAACUUGAGGCUUUGAAUUUCUACUUAUUCCAAACCCUAGAAACUUGUUUUUCCCGUUCUUAUGGUUUGAUUCUAAUAACAAGUUUCUAACAAUCAACAAUCGACUUGAUUCUUCAUUUUUACUCGAGAAAUCAUACGAGAAUCAAGUAGAUGUUUGAUUAAAGGUAGACCCUCAGUGCUUAUGGGAUUCUAAAGCUUAAUCACCACAAUUCUUCGUUUCGACAAGCUCCGGAAGGAGAUUCGGCGCGUGGAGUUCGCGUGUAGCCGAGGAUUCGGUGGACGAUUCGUGGAGUUGAGGCGUUGAUGCUGCGAGGAGUUGCAGCGAGAUCGAUUCGAGGAUUCCCAUCGAUCGAGGACCGGUGAAGAUCACUAUCUACGGGAAAUCGGUAAAUU
rnacentral:lncRNA from 1 species